rnacentral:misc_RNA from 1 species
UUAAGCAUCUCACUGGCCACAAACA